rnacentral:rRNA from 1 species
UACGUAGGGUGCGAGCGUUAAUCGGAAUUACUGGGCGUAAAGCGUGCGCAGGCGGUUUUGUAAGCCAGGUGUGAAAUCCCCGGGCUCAACCUGGGAAUGGCAUUUGGGACUGCAAGGCUGGAGUGCGGCAGAGGAGACUGGAAUUCCUGGUGUAGCAGUGAAAUGCGUAGAUAUCAGGAGGAAUACCGAUGGCGAAGGCGGCUCUCUGGACCGAGACUGACGCUGAGGCGCGAAAGCGUGGGGAGCAAACAGG